rnacentral:lncRNA from 1 species
GCUAUGGGGCAGUUAUGGGGUCUAUGGGGUGGAUGUGGGGGGCUAUGGGGCAGUUAUGGGGUGGCUGUGGGGGCCAUGGGGCCUAUGGGGCAGAUAUGGAGGGCUAUGGGAUGGCUAUGGGUGUCUAUGGGGCAGAUACGGAGGGCUAUGGGAUGGCUAUGGGGCACCUAUAGGGCAGAUAUAGGGCAGCUAUGGGGCGGCUGUAGGGGCCAUGGGGGCCUAUGGGGCAGAUAUGGAGGGCUGUGGGGCAGGUAUGGAGGGCUAUGGGAUGGGUAUGGGGGGCUAUGGGAUGGAUAUGGGGCAGCUAUGGGGUGGCUGUGGGGGCCAUGUGGCCUAUGGGGCAGAUAUGGAGGGCUAUGGGAUGAAUAUGGGGCAGAUAUAGGGCAGUUAUGGGGUGGCUAUGGGAUGGCUAUGGGAUGGGUAUGGGGGGCUAUGGGAUGGGUAUGGGGGGCUAUGGGAUGGGUAUGGGUGGCUAUGGGGCAGCUAUGGGGCAGCUAUGGGGGUCUAUGG